UAGAUACCCUGGUAGUCCACGCCGUAAACGAUGAGCACUAGGUGUUGGAUCCGUUAGGACUCAGUGCCGCAGUUAACGCAAUAAGUGCUCCGCCUGGGGAGUACGCUCGCAAGAGUAAAACUCAAAGGAAUUGACGGGGACCCGCACAAGCAGCGGAGCAUGUGGUUUAAUUCGAAGCAACGCGAAGAACCUUACCAGGGCUUGACAUCCUGCUGACAGAACCUUAAUCGGUUUUUUCUUCGGACAGCAG
rnacentral:rRNA from 1 species